rnacentral:rRNA from 1 species
UAGUCCACGCCGUAAACGAUGAUAACUAGCUAUUGGGGCUCAUAGAGCUUCGGUGGCGCAGCUAACGCAUUAAGUUAUCCGCCUGGGGAGUACGGUCGCAAGAUUAAAACUCAAAGGAAUUGACGGGGGCCUGCACAAGCGGUGGAGCAUGUGGUUUAAUUCGAGGCAACGCGCAGAACCUUACCAGCGUUUGACAUCCUCAUCGCGGAUUAGAGAGAUCUUUUCCUUCAGUUCGGCUGGAUGAGUGAC